rnacentral:misc_RNA from 1 species
CGUGGUUCUAGUAUGAAUCUGAGGUUUCAAUCGAUUUAUAGGAUCUUAACAAGAAAAUUCCUAGCAAUAAGAUUGCGUUACAUACAAAUAAAAAUACUAAAUCAAGGAAAAAAAUGGGUAAAAAUNNNNNNNNNNNAUUCAAGAGGCCUGUAACAAUCAAUACCAAGAGAUGAAUGAGCCGACUUGAUAUUUUGGCGUUAUAACCACAAAGAAGAGUUUUCGGGUUUUUCUUUUUUCGUAUCAUCAUCUUCAGAGAAAACUGUUGAAUCAUAGGAUUAAGAAGUUUAUAUUACACAUAUCUGUUUCAACUGGUAUUUGGGUGGUUCUGUUUGAGCCGUACGAGAUGAAAUUCUCAUAUACGGUUCUCGGAGGGGGAGUCCUUUUGGUUUACCUAUCUCAAUAAAGUCUAUGAUUGGUUCGAAGAACGUCUCGAGAUUCAGGCAAUUGCAGAUGAUAUAACUAGUAAAUAUGUUCCUCCCCAUGUCAACAUAUUUUAUUGUUUAGGAGGAAUUACGCUUACUUGUUUUUUAGUACAAGUAGCUACGGGGUUUGCUAUGACUUUUUACUACCGUCCGACCGUUACUGAGGCUUUUGCUUCUGUUCAAUACAUAAUGACUGAGGCUAACUUUGGUUGGUUAAUCCGCUCAG